rnacentral:rRNA from 1 species
CCUACGGGAGGCAGCAGUGGGGAAUAUUGCACAAUGGGCGAAAGCCUGAUGCAGCAACGCCGCGUGAGCGAUGAAGGCCCUCGGGUUGUAAAGCUUUGUUCUCCAGGAAGAUGAUGACGGUACUUGAGGAGGAAGCGCCGGCUAACUACGUGCAAGCAGCCGCGGUAGUACGUAGGGGGCUAGCGUUAUCCGGAAUUACUGGGCGUAAAGGGUGCGUAGGUGGUUUGUUAAGUCGGAGGUGAAAGGCUAGGGCUCAACCGUAGUAAGCCUUUGAAACUGGGAAACUUGAGUGCAGGAGAGGUGAGUGGAAUUCGUGGUGUAGCGGUGAAAUGCGUAGAUAUUAGGAGGAACCCCAGUUGCGAAGGCAGCUUUCUGGACUGUAACUGACACUGAGGCACGAAAGCGUGGGGAGCAAACAGGAUUAGAUACCCCAGUAGUC